CAUCCUCUCUAACCCUCUUCUUCUUCAAACUUGAUUUUUGAGAAGAAAGCUUGAUUUUUAGCUUGGUUUGGAAGCUUGAUUUGUGUUGGAAGCUUGAAGCUUGUUUGAGCAAGAGAUUGAGGAUUACCGGCACCUGGUCAGGAGCACCCGGGGAUUCGGAAUCUCUGCCUUUGCGGGACAACAGGAAAGGGUAAGUCAGUGGCUGAUCAACCAUGAGUUUGAGGAGCAAGAUGAAGAAUGUACAUGUUCAAGCCAUAGCAGACCAAGCGGGUUAAGGGUCUAUCAGUGAUGAACUUUUGAAUUCUAUUUUGCCGUUUAGGUCGGCUAGAAAUAAAUGACUUGUAAUAGCGUUUGUAAAUAUUUUUGGGAUCCCAACUAUUUUAAAAGUUUUAAAUAUAUUACAAGUUUAUUUUCUU